UCUCAGGAGUGUGGAGCAGGGGCCCUAAAUUUGGAUCCCAGUUUUGGCUUUGUAGCUCAGAGUCCCUGGGCUAUGACAUCUUCAUAGACACUGGAGCACUAAAUGAGUUCAGAUGGGGAUAAUGAAAGCCUCAUAACAUCAUGCUCCGGGUCCACACGAACACCUGACAAAGUUCCUGGGGUGUAACAUGAACCGGCCUUGUCACCGUAGACUGAAUGGGCAUUCCUGGGAGGCCUGUGAUUAUGGAUGGUCACAGUUUGCCAGUACCUGUUCCCCGUUUGAGCUCUUUUCCCAUUUAAUAAUUAUGU
rnacentral:lncRNA from 10 species